rnacentral:rRNA from 1 species
UGAAGACGACGAGGUAGAUAGGGCAGAGGUGGAAGCGUAGUAAUACGUGAAGCUGACUGUUACUAAUCGGUCGAGGGCUUAACCAAA